GUGAGUAUAGCUCGGUGGUAGAGCACAUGGUUAGCAUGCACGAGGUCCUGGGUACAAUCCCCAGUACCUCCA
rnacentral:tRNA from 1 species